CUCAGAGGAUUCUGACAAUAUCUUUACCGGAGAAGAGGCAAAGUACGCUCAAAGCCGAAGCCACAGCUCCUCCUGCCACAUUUCUUUCCUGCUUGCAAAUCCCAAGCUGUUAAAUAAGAUGUGCAAAGGGCUUGCAGGUCUGCCGGCUUCUUGCUUAAGGAGUGCAAAAGAUAUGAAACAUCGGCUAGGUUUCCUGCUGCAAAAAUCUGAUUCCUGUGAACAUAAUUCUUCCCACAACAAGAAGGACAAAGUGGUUAUUUGCCAGAGGGUAAGCCAAGAGGAAGUCAAGAAAUGGGCUGAAUCACUGGAAAACCUGAUUAGUCAUGAAUGUGAACCUGGAUUCUUGCACCAGGGAAGAGACAAGCCGGAACAUGCUAGAGCCUACAAUAACCUGCUUUGAUGAGGCCCAGAAGAAGAUUUUCAACCUGAUGGAGAAGGAUUCCUACCGCCGCUUCCUCAAGUCUCGAUUCUAUCUAGAUUUGGUCAACCCUUCCAGCUGUGGGGCAGAGAAGCAGAAAGGAGCCAAGAGUUCAACAGACUGUGCUUCCCUGGUCCCUCAGUGUGCCUAAUUCUCACCUGAAGGCAGAGGGAUCAAAUGCCAAGACUCUAUGCUCUGGAAAACCUGAGGCCAAAUAUUGAUCUGUAUUAAGCUCCAGUGCUUUAUCCACAUUGUAGCCUAAUAUUCAUGCUGCCUGCCAUGUGUGAGUCACUUCCAUGCAUAAACUAGAUAUAGCUGUUGGUGUUUGAGUGUUCAUCGGGGUGGGACCCCAUUCCAGUCCAAUUUUCCUAAGUUUCUUUGAGGGUUCCAUGGGAACAAAUCUCUAAAUAAAGGCCUGGUAGGUCUGGAUUUUCAAAGAUUGUUGGCAGUUUCCUCCUCCCAACAGUUUUACCUUGGGAUAGUUGGUUAGUGCAUGUCACGUGACAUCCACAUGCACAUGUAUUCUGUUGGUCAGCACGUUCUCCAGAUCCUAGAUAUUUAGAUGAGGUUGAUCUAUGGUAUGCGCUUGUGUGUAUGUUUAUGUCUAUAUAUAAUAUACAUAUUAUACACACAUAUACAUUAUUUCUGUAUAUAGAUGUCUGUGUAUACAUAUGUAUGUGUGAGUGUAUGUAUACACACACACACACUUUUGCAAGAGUGAUGGGAAAGACCCUAGGUGCUCAUAACUAGAGUAUGUGUAUGUACUUACAUGCAUGUUUUCAUCUCUGUUCUUUCAUACUACAUUUGAACAGGGCAAAAUGAAUUAACUGCCAAGUAGGCUAAGAAAGAAAUGCUAACCUGUGGAAAAUUGGUUUUGUAAAAUUCCAUGGAUCUUGCUGGAGAAGCAUCCAAGGAACUUCAUGCUUGGUUUGACCACUGACAGCCUCCACCUUGAGCACUACUCUAAGGAGCAAAUAGCUUAGCUCCUUUGAGCUGGUUUUCACUGAUGGCACUUUUGAGCUCCUAAGCUGCCAGCCUUCCCUUCUUUUCCUGGGUGCUCAGGGCAUGCUUAUUAGCAGCUGGGUUGGUAUGGAGUUGGCAGACAGGAUGUCCAACUGAAUGAAGAAAUGCAGUUAAGGCCUUGCCAGCAACACCUGCAUAAGUUACUGGCUGAGCAAGGGCACAGAAGUUAAAGGUUACUGUUUUUAUCCUCUAUCCUCUUUUCCUCUCCCGAUCAAGGUGCUCUUCUCAUUUUUUUCCUGAGAACCUUAACCAUCAGAUGAGGCUCCUUAGUUUAUUGUGGUUGGUUGUUUUUCUUUAUAAUGGCUCUGGGCUAUAUGCCUAUAUUUAUAAACCAGCAGCAGGGGAAGGAUUAUAGUUUAUAAGAGGGAAAAAAGUUUUCACAAUUUGAAAAGCCCACAUAAGUUUUCUCUUUUAAGGUAGAAUCUUGUUAAUUUCAUUCCAAACAUCAGGUCUAACAGAGACUGGAGGCAUUUCUUUUUAGGCUCUGAGACUAAAUGAGAGGAAAAGGAAAGAAAAAAAUGAUUGUCUAAUCAAUUGUUAGAAUUACUGUUUGAAACUUUUCAAGGCACAUUGAAAUACUUGAAAACUUCUCAUUUGUGUUAUUUAUGAUGUUACUUUGUAUGUAUUGUUAUUAUUAUUAUACUGUUUUAUAAAUGGAGGUGCAGGAUAUCACCUGAAUUAUUAAUGAAUGCCCAGGAAGUAAUUUUCUUCUCAUUCUUCUAAAACGACUGCCUUCGAAAGUGCACACACACGCAUCCACAUACACUGCAUUCGUUGCUCCAGUAUAAAUUACAUGCAUGAGCACCUUUCUGACUUUUAAGCCAAUAUAAUGGGCUGCAAAAUGAAGACACCAGAGUGUGUGCAUACAAAUCUCACUGUAUUAAAGAUGUAGGUUUUCUAAUUGUACCCUUCUUUUCUCUUCGGCAAUCUUGCCCUUAAUAUCCCUGGAGUUCCUCAUCAGUGUCAUUUUCUGUUAUACACAGUUCCACAGUUUUGUCUCUAGUUGACUUCAAAUGUUUAACUUUAUUGGUCUUGCCCUAUUAUAAUUGUCAUGACUUUCAGAUUGUAUCUGAACUCACAGACUGCUGUCUUACUAAUAGGUCUGGAAGGUCAUUCUGAAUGAGAAGUAAAUUAUUUUAUGUAAUACAUUUUUGAGUGUGUUUUUCAGUUGUAUUUCCUUGUUAUUUCAUCACCAUUUCCAAUGGUGAGCUUGCCUGCUCAUGCUCCCUGGACAGAAUACUCCUUCCUUUUGCAUGCCUGUUUCUAUCAUGUGCUUGACAGGCCUCAAAGCUGAUGCUUCCAGUGAAACACAUGCAUCUUAAUAAUAAGGGUAAAUAAACGCUCCAUACAAAAC